AAGAGUAUAGUUUAAAUUAAAACAUCAGACUGUAAAUCUGGGGAUAUUUUAUUCUUG
rnacentral:tRNA from 1 species